CUUUUCAUCCAUGUCCUCAUUUUUCACUUCAACACGCUCAGAAACAAAGAAAUAUUUUUGUUUGGAUCAUGUUGGGUGUAAGCUUGGGAUGCAUUGGGAGAUUUAUAGGUGCUAUGUUAUUAGUUAUGGCGAGUUGAACUUCGGAAUACCGUCGUGUCAAGGGAACAGGAUAUCAAAGGCAUCCGUGCGAGAUGGCGAUAUAUCGAUCAGCCCUACUACACCAUUGGAUGUGUGUGAGAUUGGAUGCUAGAACAGGCCAGCC
rnacentral:lncRNA from 1 species